AACCUAGAAGAUAACCUAAAAGCAAGGCGUCGCACCCAGCAAGCCAUCGCACUAAGUUCAUCACUGCCUAUCGCCAAGACCGUCGCACCACACAGCUCGCCGUCAUGUUUAUCUAACCCUCACACCCAGCCCUUCAUCUAGCCCUCACACCCAUCCCUCUCUCUGUCGCACCCAAUCCCGCACCAUCAACGAUCUCUCGCGCCCAGCUGUUUCUCGACGGUCUCUCGCACCCAACCGUCGCACCAUCGACGCAACCCUCGUUAGAUUUGGAACCCUCCAUCGGCGCUGCUCCGUCCACGCACCAUCAGUGGUCUCUGUCCCGGCGUGCCCUCCUACUCUCUCAGUGGUCUCUGUCUCGCAAACCCUUGUUGGAUUCGGAACCUCAAUCGUUGCUCACUCUAUUUCGCAAACCCUCAAUCACCGCUCCUCCCUCCGUGGUUCAGCACCCGUCGCGUUGCCGUCUCCCUCUCUGAAGUCGUCGCGCCGCCGUCUCCAUCUCCCUCACUCGUCGCACCUCCGUCAGCCAUGUUCAACGUUCACAAUGCCGUGCUGUGGUAGUGCUCAGCUACUGAUAUGUCAAAGAAGGAAGUGGCGGCAAGAGUAGUAAUGAUAAUGAGGGUGAGGAAAAUUCAUUUGACAUGAAUGAAGGAGCGGCUAUGAGUGAUGAUGAGGAAUUGGAAGAAGAGAAUAAUAAUGAAGCAAAGGAGGAGGAGGAGGAUAACAAUGAAGAAGGAAAUUCAGCAAACCCAAGUAGCAGCAGCACAGCAUCAAGAGAAGGGAAGAGAGGGAGUGGUGUGAGACAAUAUGUGAGAUCAAAGAUGCUAAGGCUUCGUUGGACUCCUAAUCUUCAUCUCUCCUUUGUCCAUGCUGUUCAGAGGCUUGGAGGUCAAGAAAGUAAUUCCACUCUCAAACAGUUGUAAGACUACACUUCAAUUUGACUUGGGAGGAGUUCAAUUUGAUAAAAUGGUUCCUUAUAUUACAAUUGCUUUGACGGAUUCUAAACUUGGUGCGGAAGGGGCGUAAAGAACUUUUUGAUUGGUUAUCUAGGCAACUUUCUGUGCAAAGCAGUUUUGCUGAAGCUGCACAACUUCUGAAGCCAGCCUCUGCUGCAAUGACAGUAAGUUUUGGACAUUCAUGGACCAAUUCUAGCUUUAGUUCUUGAGAAGUUGAAACCAUAUGGAGGCCUUCAAGAAUCAUUUGAGUCUGCUAAGGCAGUUUCAAUGGGCGCAUCAAAAGGUGUUCAAAGGCUGGGAAAUUAACAAGUUUUGAAUUUGGAUUAGUUUUGAAUUGAGGACCCACGCAUUGAGCAGAUUCAAGAUCUA